GAUGAACGCUGGCGGCGUGCCUAAUACAUGCAAGUCGAGCGAACGGACGAGAAGCUUGCUUCUCUGCUGUUAGCGGCGGACGGGUGAGUAACACGUGGAUAACCUACCUAUAAGACUGGGAUAACUUCGGGAAACCGGAGCUAAUACCGGAUAAUAUUUUGAACCGCAUGGUUCAAAAGUGAAAGACGGUCUUGCUGUCACUUAUAGAUGGAUCCGCGCUGCAUUAGCUAGUUGGUAAGGUAACGGCUUACCAAGGCAACGAUGCAUAGCCGACCUGAGAGGGUGAUCGGCCACACUGGAACUGAGACACGGUCCAGACUCCUACGGGAGGCAGCAGUAGGGAAUCUUCCGCAAUGGGCGAAAGCCUGACGGAGCAACGCCGCGUGAGUGAUGAAGGUCUUCGGAUCGUAAAACUCUGUUAUUAGGGAAGAACAUAUGUGUAAGUAACUGUGCACAUCUUGACGGUACCUAAUCAGAAAGCCCCGGCUAACUACGUG
rnacentral:rRNA from 1 species